AUGCACGCUGGCGGCGUGCCUAAUACAUGCCAGUCGAGCGAACAGACGAGGAGCUUGCUCCUCUGACGUUAGCGGCGGACGGGUGAGUAACACGUGGAUAACCUACCUAUAAGACUGGGAUAACUUCGGGAAACCGGAGCUAAUACCGGAUAAUAUAUUGAACCGCAUGGUUCAAUAGUGAAAGACGGUUUUGCUGUCAAUUAUAGAUGGAUCCGCGCCGCAUUAGCUAGUUGGUAAGGUAACGGCUUACCAAGGCGACGAUGCGUAGCCGACCUGAGAGGGUGAUCGGCCACACUGGAACUGAGACACAGUCCAGACUCCUACGGGAGGCAGCAGUAGGGAAUCUUCCGCAAUGGGCGAAAGCCUGACGGAGCAACGCCGCGUGAGUGAUGAAGGUCUUCGGAUCGUAAAACUCUGUUAUUAGGGAAGAACAAAUGUGUAAGUAACUAUGCACGUCUUGACGGUACCUAAUCAGAAAGCCACGGCUAACUACGUG
rnacentral:rRNA from 1 species